UCUCCGUUGGUGAACCAGCGGAGGGAUCAUUACCGAGUUUACAACUCCCAAACCCAAUGUGAACCAUACCAAACUGUUGCCUCGGCGGGGUCACGCCCCGGGUGCGUCGCAGCCCCGGAACCAGGCGCCCGCCGGAGGGACCAACCAAACUCUUUCUGUAGUCCCCUCGCGGACGUUAUUUUUACAGCUCUGAGCAAAAAUUCAAAAUGAAUUAAAACUUUCAACAACGGAUCUCUUGGUUCUC
rnacentral:misc_RNA from 1 species